UACGAAGGGGGCAAGCGUUUGUUCGGAAUUACUGGGCGUAAAGGGCGCGCAGGCGGCCAUUCAAGUCAGAUGUGAAAGCCCCGGGCUCAACCUGGGAACAGCAUUUGGGACUGGAUGGCUAGAGAUCGGGAGGGGAGGGUGGAAUUCCCAGUGUAGAGGUGAAAUGCGUAGAUAUCGGGGAGGAACACCAGUGGCGAAGGGCGGCUAUCUGGGCUGCAACUGACGCUGAGGCGCGAAGGCUAGGGUAGCAAACAGG
rnacentral:rRNA from 1 species